CGGGACUUGGAGUUUCCCCUGCGA
rnacentral:piRNA from 1 species